CUUGAGAUCUUGAUUUUGAUAUAAGGGUUAGUGUUUGCUAACCUUUGUGAUUUCCGACUGCGUCAAGUGGUAUCAGAGCAAGGUUUUCUCCUUCUCUUUUCGAAGCUUGAUCAGCCAUGGGUGAUCAACCAGUAACCAAAGCCGACUUCGAGGGUUUCGCAGAAGGUUUAAGGGAGGCAACCACAAACCUCAUUGCCGUAACUGCUCAAUUGGCAAAUCUGGUAACUGGGUUAAAUAAUCAGGUUGUGGCUUAUCCCAAUCAGGUUAAUAACGCCGGUCAAAGAGGUGGAGAAA
rnacentral:lncRNA from 1 species